rnacentral:tRNA from 3 species
CGGGGCGUAGCUCAGCCUGGUGAGAGCGCACGGUUCGGGACCGUGAGGUCGGUGGUUCAAAUCCACUCGCCCCGACCA